AUUGAAUAAUAGCAAACUAUAACAGUUCAAUAGUUUUUCUUAAUGUUUCUCUAUAGAUCUAUCUUGAGUGUUAAAUUGUAUAAUCAAUAAAAACAAUAGUUUUGCUAGGGUUUUAUAGAUAAGUUGACUCGUUUUGCUUCCCCAACCCCUGUGGAGCAGCUUUCAGAACUGUUUGAAGACCCAGAAAAUCUUACAUUGUCUGUGAAAUAACGACACUGACACACGCACAUUAGUAUGACGUCAAACAGACUACACUCAGAUUCUGGAAGCAGACUACACUCAGAUUCUGGAAGCAGACUACACUCAGAUUCUGGAAGCAGACUACACUCAGAUUCUGGAAACAGGCUACACUCAGAUUCUGGAAGCAGGCUACACUCAGAUUCUGGAAGCAGGCUACACUCAGAUUCUGGAAACAGACUACACUCAGAUUCUGGAAACAGACUACACUCAGAUUCUGGAAACAGACUACACUCAGAUUCUGGAAACAGACUACACUCAGAUUCUGGAAACAGACUACACUCAGAUUCUGGAAGCAGACUACACUCAGAUUCUGGAAGCAGACUACACUCAGAUUCUGGAAGCAGACUACACUCAGAUUCUGGAAGCAGACUACACUCAGAUUCUGGAAGCAGACUACACUCAGAUUCUGGAAGCAGACUACACUCAGAUUCUGGAAGCAGACUACACUCAGAUUCUGGAAACAGACUACACUCAGAUUCUGGAAACAGACUACACUCAGAUUCUGGAAGCAGACUACACUCAGAUUCUGGAAGCAGACUACACUCAGAUUCUGGAAGCAGACUACACUCAGAUUCUGGAAGCAGACUACACUCAGAUUCUGGAAGCAGACUACACUCAGAUUCUGGAAACAGACUACACUCAGAUUCUGGAAGCAGACUACACUCAGAUUCUGGAAACAGACUACACUCAGAUUCUGGAAGCAGUUUCCAUGCAGACAGAUUUAAGGUCUCAUUGCAAGGAAAGUAUCUUUGGUCCUAAAAAGGACAAGAGAUUUAGCCUCUGCCGUUAUCUUGUGGAAGAUGACUUAGGAAAACACCAGGGAAUUCACGAGAUCAUUUUAAAGAAAUGCAUUUUGCAGGAAAGGUAAUUUUUGGUUAUUUUUAAAAUUUAAUUUUGUUUGGAUUUUAUACACGCUCUCAAAUAAUGAAUGAUUACAUCAAUAAGACAACUGUAGACAAGGAAGGCACAGUAGCUGUGCAGGAGUUUUUGGAAUGCGCUGGGGAAGCCCAAGUCUAGCACACUGCUCUCAGCUCCAGUCACAUGACUCCAAGGAUGUUAGCAGAGGCCUUUUAAAUUAUAUUCAGCUCUAAGGUGAGUGCUUUUCUAAUAACUUAUUAGAAAAUCAAUAACUGUGCACCAGAACUCAUUGUUACCACAGUGGUUCCUUAUCACCAUGUAUUUCAUUGCUGACCUUGUUUCUAUUCAUAGGUGGUGGUGGUGACCAUCUUGGUCCAAUAAGUUGCUAAUUUAGAAGGGACUGGAAUGCAAAAGUCGGAAGUCAAGAAACACCUGGAGUAACGGGCAAAUUUGGCCUUGGAGUUCAGAAUUAAGCAGGGCAAAGGCUAAUAGAGUUUUGCCAAAGAACGCAUUGGUCAUAGCAAACACCCUCUUCCAGGAACACAAGAGAAGACUCUAUACAUGGACGUCACCAGAUGGUUGACACCGAAAUCAAAUUGAUUAUAUUCUUUGCAGCCACAGAUGGAGAAGCUCUAUACAGUCAGCAAAAACAAAACCGGGAGCUGACUGUGGCUCAGAUCAUGAACUCCUUAUUGCCAAAUUCAGACUGAAAUUCAAGAAAGUGGAGAAAACCACUAGACUAUUCAGGUAUGACCUAAAUCAAACCCCUUAUAACUAUACAGUGGAAGUGAGAAAUAGAUUCAAGGGACUAGAUCUGAUAGACAGAGUGCCUGAUGAACUAUGGAUGGAGGUUCAUGACAUUGUACAGGAGACAGAAAUCAAGACUAUCCCCAAGAAAAAGAAAUGCAAAAAAGCAAAAUGGCUUUUGUCUGAGGAGGCCUUACAAAUAGCUGUGAAAAGAUGGGAAGCAAAAAGCAAAGGAGAAAAGGAACGAUAUACCCGUCUGAAUGCAGAGUUCCAAAGAAUAGCAAGGAGAGAGAAGAAAGCCUUCCUCAGUGAUCAGUGCAAAGAAAUAGAGGAAAACAACAGAAUGGGAAAGACUAGAGAUCUCUUCGAGAAAAUUAGAGAUACCAAGGGAACAUUUCAUGAAAACAUGGGCUCAAUAAAGGACAGAAAUGGUAUGGACCUAACAGAAGCAGAAGAUAUUAAUUAAGAAGAGGUGGCAAGAAUACACAGAACUGUACAAAAGGAUCUUCAUGACCCAGAUGCUCACGAUGGUGUGUGAUCACUUACCUACAGCCAGACAUCCUGGAAUGUGAAGUCAAGUGGGCCUUAGGAAGCAUCAUACGAACAAAGCUAGUGGAGGUGAUGGAAUUCCAGUUGAGCUAUUUCAAAUCCUGAAAGAUGAUGCUGUGAAAGUGCUGCACUCAAUAUGCCAGCCAAUAUGGGAAACUCAGCAGUGGCCACAGGACUGGAAAAGGUCAGUUUUCAUGCCAAUCCCUAAGAAAGGCAAUGCCAAAGAAUACUCAAACUACCGCACAAUUGCACUCAUCUCACACGCUAGUAAAGUAAUGCUCAAAAUUCUCCAAGCCAGGCUUCAGCAAUAUGUGAACUGUGAACUUUCUGAUGUUCAAGCUGGUUUUAGAAAAGGCAGAGGAACCAGAGAUCAAAUUGCCAACACCCACUGGAUCAUGGAAAAAGCAAGAGAGUUCCAGAAAAACAUCUAUUUCUGCUUUCUUGACUAUGCCAAAGCCUUUGACUGUGUGGAUCACAAUAAACUGGAAAAUUCUGCAAGAGAUGGGAAUACAGACCACCUGACCUGCCUCUUGAGAAACCUAUAUGCAGGUCAGGAAGCAACAGUUAGAACUGGACGUGGAACAACAGACUGGUUCCACAUAAGAAGAGUACGUCAAGGCUGUAUAUUGUCACCCUACUUAUUUAACUUCUAUGCAGAGUACAUCAUGAGAAACGCUGGACUGGAAGAAGCACAAGCUGGAAUCAAGAUUGCCGGGAGAAAUAUCAAGAAUCUCAGAUAUGCAGAUGACACCACCCUCAUGGCAGAAAGUGAAGAGGAACUAAAAAGCCUCUUGAUGAGAGUGAAAGAGGAGAGUGAAAAAGUUGGCUGAAAGCUCAACGUUCAGAAAACUAAGAUCAUGG
ensembl:lncRNA